AGCGCUUUAAAACUGGAGAAGAGUCUGACAAGUAGCAUUACAUAUUUGAAAUAUUUUUGAUAACUUCAGUGGUUUGGGACUUCCUGGGAAGGUUUUACAGGAGUUCAAGAUUCAUGGUUAACCUACUAGCAGAAUCACUGUUCCUCAAAAGAAGAGCUUCAGAAAUCAUAAUGAAGGAAUCAAAGGGCAUACUCUGAAUAAGUUCCAGUAAUGUCAACUUUAUAUGCAUGUCAGUGCAUCCUUUAUGAAAUUGUUGAGCAGUCUUGUGAUUCUGAACUCGAGAUAAAUCCUCUGCCAUGUGUGUCUUUGUGUAGAGAUGUGUGGGUCAAUAAUUAAUGAAAACAAAAUAAAACUACUACUGACAGGUGGGCUUUGAAAAGCAAUCUUUGUGAUAAAUAUAAACUUCAGUAGCUACCUCACCAUUGAUUCAUAGAGUCUUUGUUAGCAUCAAAAAAUAUUUGCUUGAGGCCCUAGAGAAUUUUUUUACACCUUGGCAUUGUCAGGUUGGAAAAUAUAUUUACAUACAACAUUUAUUUGAAGCUUGAGAAAGCUGAGAAAGAUAAAACAUUCCUUUGGAUGUAGUUUGCUUUCUGGUUUUUGAUUUGAUUUUCAUUUCUUUGGUACACUGUUGGGGAGCAGGGGGAAGAAAUUUAAGGGUUUCUUUUAUAG